UUAAUGACUCUCGGCAACGGAUAUCUCGGCUCUUACAUCGAUGAAGAACGUAGCGAAAUGCGAUACUUGGUGUGAAUUGCAGAAUCCCGUGAACCAUCGAGUCUUUGAACGCAAGUUGCGCCCGAAUCCAUCCGGUCGAGGGCACGUCUGCCUGGGUGUCA
rnacentral:rRNA from 2 species